GAAAAAAAUGGCGACUUCAAUCGUCUUUUUCUCCCACUUGUAGUGUUGUCCGGUCCUUUGAUCCGCCUUUCAAAAUUUUCCAGCAGUUAAAAUAUCGAUAAGACCUUAUUCUUCAUCUGUUAUAGUUUAAAACGGUUGUGAUAAAUCCUGAAGCACGCGAAAAGAUCUCUAACAGCAUCACCCUAAUUAGCCUAAGGUCAUCUAAAAGAAGAAAUAAAACAAGCAUCUGACUUCGCCAUGGAGUCCAACGCAGCGAGCACGUCUAGCUUGUGGUACGCCAAAUAUCUCGAAACCUACCCGUGUCCGGAAGUUUUAACUCAACCUAUGAGAUCUCGUACUCAGACGAGGAACCACCGGCGAAGAAAAAGAAUAAAAAGAAAACUAAACAAAAAGAACAGCCAUCAAAAGGGAUAAAAAAGAUUUCAGAUAAAAAACAAAUAGACACAGCCGCUCAAACUGAUCCACAG